rnacentral:tRNA from 1 species
GGGGAUUUAGCUUAGUGGUAGAGCGCUUGCCUAGCAAGCACAAGGCCCUGGGUUCGGUCCCCAGCUCA